GGGCCCGUAGCUCAGCCUGGUAGAGCGGCGGAGGAUCGACGUCCGCCGCGGCUCUUAAGGGCGAAGGCGCCCGUGGAAACCCGUAGGUCGUGGGUUCGAAGGGGGAUGGCCCCGAGAGUCCCACCGGGCCCGCCA
rnacentral:tRNA from 1 species